rnacentral:rRNA from 1 species
GACGAACGCUGGCGGCGUGCCUAAUACAUGCAAGUAGAACGCUGAAGAGAGGAGCUUGCUCUUCUUGGAUGAGUUGCGAACGGGUGAGUAACGCGUAGGUAACCUGCCUUGUAGCGGGGGAUAACUAUUGGAAACGAUAGCUAAUACCGCAUAACAAUGGAUGACCCAUGUCAUUUAUUUGAAAGGGGCAAAUGCUCCACUACAAGAUGGACCUGCGUUGUAUUAGCUAGUAGGUGAGGUAACGGCUCACCUAGGCGACGAUACAUAGCCGACCUGAGAGGGUGAUCGGCCACACUGGGACUGAGACACGGCCCAGACUCCUGCGGGAGGCAGCAGUAGGGAAUCUUCGGCAAUGGGGGCAACCCUGACCGAGCAACGCCGCGUGAGUGAAGAAGGUUUUCGGAUCGUAAAGCUCUGUUGUAAGUCAAGAACGAGUGUGAGAGUGGAAAGUUCACACUGUGACGGUAGCUUACCAGAAAGGGACGGCUAACUACGUGCCAGCAGCCGCGGUAAUACGUAGGUCCCGAGCGUUGUCCGGAUUUAUUGGGCGUAAAGCGAGCGCAGGCGGUUUGAUAAGUCUGAAGUUAAAGGCUGUGGCUCAACCAUAGUUCGCUUUGGAAACUGUCAAACUUGAGUGCAGAAGGGGAGAGUGGAAUUCCAUGUGUAGCGGUGAAAUGCGUAGAUAUAUGGAGGAACACCGGUGGCGAAAGCGGCUCUCUGGUCUGUAACUGACGCUGAGGCUCGAAAGCGUGGGGAGCGAACAGGAUUAGAUACCCUGGUAGUCCACGCCGUAAACGAUGAGUGCUAGGUGUUGGAUCCUUUCCGGGAUUCAGUGCCGCAGCUAACGCAUUAAGCACUCCGCCUGGGGAGUACGACCGCAAGGUUGAAACUCAAAGGAAUUGACGGGGGCCCGCACAAGCGGUGGAGCAUGUGGUUUAAUUCGAAGCAACGCGAAGAACCUUACCAGGUCUUGACAUCCCGAUGCUAUUUCUAGAGAUAGAAAGUUACUUCGGUACAUCGGUGACAGGUGGUGCAUGGUUGUCGUCAGCUCGUGUCGUGAGAUGUUGGGUUAAGUCCCGCAACGAGCGCAACCCCUAUUGUUAGUUGCCAUCAUUCAGUUGGGCACUCUAGCGAGACUGCCGGUAAUAAACCGGAGGAAGGUGGGGAUGACGUCAAAUCAUCAUGCCCCUUAUGACCUGGGCUACACACGUGCUACAAUGGUUGGUACAACGAGUUGCGAGUCGGUGACGGCAAGCUAAUCUCUUAAAGCCAAUCUCAGUUCGGAUUGUAGGCUGCAACUCGCCUACAUGAAGUCGGAAUCGCUAGUAAUCGCGGAUCAGCACGCCGCGGUGAAUACGUUCCCGGGCCU